CCACCGGCGUAAAAUCAAGUCAAAGGCUGCUGUCUCAUAAUAUGGCGAAGACGAGUCACCUGAAGGCCUAACUCGCCAUAGAAGACUGAAAGAAUUGUCCUGCAGGAUGCUGUGUCCUGCAAUCCUGUGUACUGUGCUACAGACGCACGUGGAGGUCAACCCAAAAUGGGCACAGUCUCACCGCAGAAGAGUGAAAGAGGAUCCUGGCAGGGAGACGGUAGUGUCCUGCAGAAUGGUGAUGGGCCAAUCUUACAAGAGACCACAGAAAACUGAUAUAGUGAACUAUAGAAACAACAGUGCCUGCUGCAGUAUAAUGAGGACACCCUGAGCAGAGGGCUCCAAUAGACCCAGGUCCAGUGUCUUGGCAGGGUGAAAUGGCACUGAUAUGGUGUCCUGCAGGAUGCUGUGUCCUGCAAUCCUGUGUGCUGUGCUACAGACGCGUGUGGAGGUCAACCCAAAAUGGGCACAGUCUCACCACAGAAGAGUGAAAGAGGCUUUAAAACUUAAGGCCACCGCUAUGGAGGGAGCGGCUGCAACCGCCACCAGCGCAGCAGCUGCCCAACAAGCUCGACCCUCCGAUUCCUCCACCUCCAGCUCCUCCACCUCCUCUUCAAGUGACUCGGAGCCAGAGAGGAAGAGAAAGAAGAGGAACAAGAGAGACAGGAAAAAGAGAGAGAAGAAGAGGAUGGAGAAGAAGCAGAAGAAGAGGAAGAAGGACAAGCACAGACAGACAGAAGGAGAGAACUUGCGAACACUUGCACCCUAUUGCGGAGCUCGCCUUCAGGUGGGCACAUGCAGAAAAUUGAACAGCUUAAUGAUUAACAACGAUUUUUAGAACCUGAACAAGGACUGCCUGCUUACCUUUUUUUUUUUCAUCUUUUUGAAAUAUCUAGCAGGUCCCCCUUUCUUUUCAGUUGCUGUAUCUCCUGCAUGUGCCCACCUGAUUCACACUGUGUGGCACAGUCCUUGGCGAAGUUAAAUAAACUAUCACCAGGAAGAUAUGUCUCCCUAAUUUCCAUGUAAUCAUCAGGGCUGACCGUUGCAAGCUCCGCAAUAGGGGCUUGGUUGCAGAUGGUAUUUCUGUCGAUCGGAAUUUUUUCGUACGCCGCCGUCUUGCUUAAACCCUUUCUCACCAGCCUGACCACCUCCAUAUAGCGGGGGGCUAGCGGGAGCUGUCUGUAAAAUAUCUGUAUUUUGUUUGUAUAUUUUACAGUAUCACCGCGGAAGGGCCUCUGCUACAUGGCGAAGAAAAAAAUAGGUCUUUGGCAUUUUAGGGAUAAGAAACGAGCGGAGGUGUCCCAUCCUGUGGCUGGUGAGGAGAAGAGGACGGGAGAAUCUUAUCCCAAUUGUGGUCAAGCAUGUGCGUCCAGGAGCCACCCUGAUCAGUGAUGAGUGGCGAGCAUACAGAGGCGCAUUAGCUGCCAUUGGCUACACUCACUUCACUGUUAACCAUUCAAGAUGGUUUGUUGAUCCAAACAGUGGGGCCCAUACACAGCACCUUGAGAGGGGUUACUGCCACACUUAUUGUGUGUGUGUGUGUGUGUGUGUGUGUGUGUGUGUGUGUGUGUGUGUGUGUGUGUGUUACAAUAUGUGAAGGCCUAUGACUUGCUUUCAUAAUAAUAAAAAGUUAUUGCUCUC